rnacentral:rRNA from 1 species
UACGUAGGUGGCAAGCGUUGUCCGGAAUUAUUGGGCGUAAAGCGCGCGCAGGCGGUCCUUUAAGUCUGAUGUGAAAGCCCACGGCUCAACCGUGGAGGGUCAUUGGAAACUGGGGGACUUGAGUGCAGGAGAGAAGAGUGGAAUUCCACGUGUAGCGGUGAAAUGCGUAGAGAUGUGGAGGAACACCAGUGGCGAAGGCGACUAUCUGGUCUGUAACUGACACUGAGGCGCGAAAGCGUGGGGAGCAAACAGG